CAAUAUUCCAUUUACUCAACUGCCACUAGUUGAACAAGCUAAAAUGGGCAUAUAUCAUAUUACAUAUCGCUUUUGAUGAACUGCUGGAACGUGUCUUAUUCCAGUACUUGAAGGAAUAAAUUAUUUUCGGAGAUACUGACGUUUUGCUGAAAGAUGGAGAAGUAGUAGGAAUACCAUAACUCUCCUUUUCUCGAAGGACUCUCUUGUCAUUAUCCCCGAUCGUGUCUGCCAAGCAAUAUGUGUACUACUAUCGAACUGUAGUGAUACGUUAGUUGGAGAUUCCUAUCUGCUACUACUACAACAAUUUACUUGUAGAUAUUCAAACAACUCACGUAUUUAGUGGAGAACGAGAAUCCAGCAGAUUAUAUUUCCUUUUAUUUUCUUUCUUCUCUUUCUCUCUUUUACAUAACAACCUCAUCCAGCUUAAGUGAUUUAUAUAACAAUCAAAGACCCGAAGAAUGCACCUUCCUUUCUCCUCUUUUUUACUUUGUUGAUACCGCUACUAUUUUUUCUUUUUUUUUUGUUAAAGUGUUGUUGCUGUUGUUGAUAUUGUUACUAACGCUUCUGGCUGGAAUUAGUACUGUGAUGGGAACAUAUGAGAAGAAAUAACACACAUAUGCUUUACACAUUUAUAAUUUAUAUACACACGAAUAUAUGUAUGUACAUAUAUGAAAUUUGAUAACACACUUUAAUUCUGGCAUCAAAAGUACUAGCUUUUCGGAUGCGCUUUGCCUUGUCACUGUUAAUUAUCGCUGUCAUCUUUACUCCUACCUGGAAUCUAUAUUGUUCACACCUGACACGUGUGUGUUUUCCGUUCACUAUAAAGAAGUUAAAUCAUUUUUCACAUCACCAUUUUAUUAACAACCUGUUUUUACAACAACAGAUAUGGUUAUUAACAGCGGGUUUCACAAAGUGAAACAACCAAGUUUACUUAAAAGCCUUCACCAAACAGUAACCACCCUUAAUAGGUGCCGCCUCUUACAACUUGACGUUGAACUGUCACUGGUUUGAAGCAGAGAAGUGUUGGAUUGGCCGCUGGAACCUUCUUACCUGCGUCGACUUGUUUAGGCAAUUCAGUCUUUCAAAGCCUAAAUACAUCUAUUUUAGUUUCAUUCUUCAUCCAUAAUGUUCUGUGUUGUGUUUUACUGUGCGAUUCCCGUUUCUCACCACACGAAAUACAAACCUUCACGGAGGGGAUAUGUACACCAAUAUUUUGAUAUAAACAAUAUAACUUAAUUCAAUUACAAUAAUAUCACCAUGCAAACAUGAACAAAAACACCACGAUAAAACAUUUCUUUCUGACUGUUUCGUUCACCAGAUAAUUGAUAAACAAAAUAAACGCGUUUCUAUUCCAUUGCUGGGAUGCGAAGAAAAGGUGACAUUUCAUACAUACAGAAAAAAGUGAAGAUUAAAAGAAAAAUAUUAUUUUGUUUUUAUUCAAGUGUUUUUAAGAAAAGAACAAUUUGAAAUAAGGACAUCCUAAUUUCAAAUCUCUGCGUGUAAAUAUAUAUACAUAUAUAUAUAUGUUGUGAAGGAAAACCAAGCAGCAAGUCCCUCGUUCACCCCAGAUACUGCUCUUUUGUAUAAUAUGUCGCUCACUAAUUGUUCCGACCUUGGUGAUUCAAAAACCAACACCUCCGCCUCUUAUGAUUACAAAUGCGAAGAUCGACAAUGGAAUGUAUUUCUUAUGUCCAGUUUGAUUACCUUCUCAUCGGGGUUAGUUGUUAUUAUUAUAUGUCGGAUAGUUAAUUUACUGUGUUGUCGUCACAGAAACAAUCCAAAUGUCGCGGCGAACAGUAAAUCUCUGGCAGCAGCUGGCCAAGGGGCCGCUGCUACUGGACAGAAACCUUUUCUCAGGACAUCGGACCCUGAAAUCGGGUGGAUGACUGAAGCUAAAGAUUGGGCGGGUGAAUUAAUAUCCGGACAAACUACAACAGGACGAAUCCUGGUUGGUUUGGUGUUUCUGCUCAGUAUUGCAUCAUUAAUCAUCUAUUUCAUAGAUGCAUCAGAUGGACAAGAUGUUGAAUCCUGCAGACCCUGGGCACUGAGUACAACUCAACAAGUUGAUUUAGCAUUCAAUGUGUUUUUUAUGAUAUAUUUUUUUAUUCGGUUUGUUGCUGCAAAUGAUAAACUAUGGUUUUGGCUGGAGCUUUUCUCUUUUGUCGACUAUUUUACAAUUCCACCAUCUUUUGUGGCCAUCUACCUAGACCGAAAUUGGUUAGGUCUCCGCUCCCUGAGAGCUUUACGGCUUGUCUCAAUCCCCGAUAUUCUCCAAUAUCUCAAUAUUUUGAAAACCAGUACAAUGAUCCGGCUGACACAACUCGUGGCAUUUUUUGUAAGCAUGUGGUUGGCUGGAGCUGGUUUCUUGCACCUGAUUGAAAAUUCCGGUGAUCCUUUCUUGGACUUCAAAAAUCCAAACAGUAUGACGUAUUGGGAGUGUUUAUACUUUUUACUGGUUACCAUGUCAACUGUGGGAUUUGGAGAUAUCUAUGCCAAAACAGUUCUCGGCAGAAUAUUUAUUGUACUAUUCAUCCUAUGUUCAUUGGGUAUAUUUACAAGCUUUAUUCCUGAAAUCGCUGAGAUUAUUGGCCGGAGACAGAAGUAUGGCGGAACAUAUAAGAAAGAAAGGGGCAAAAAACAUAUUGUAGUGUGUGGCCAUAUUACAUAUGACUCGGUCUCAAACUUCUUAAAAGAUUUCUUACACAAAGACAGAGAAGACGUGGAUGUAGAGAUUAUUUUUAUUGAUACGCAACUCCCUGAUUUAGAACUUGAAGGGUUGCUUAAGAGGCAUUUUACACAAGUAGAAUUUUUCCAAGGCACGGUUAUGGAUGCCAAUGAUUUAGAAAGAGUAAAGAUUCAGCAGGCAGAUGCAUGUUUGGUGCUAGCAAAUAAAUACUGUGAUGAUCCUGACCAAGAAGAUGCUGCAAACAUCAUGAGAGUAAUCUCAAUCAAGAAUUAUCAUUCAGAGAUUAAAGUUAUUGUCCAGCUGUUGCAGUAUCACAACAAGGCUUACCUGUUAAACAUUCCCAGCUGGGAUUGGAAACGUGGCGAUGAUGCCGUGUGUAUUGCUGAGUUAAAGCUUGGAUUUAUCGCUCAAAGUUGUUUGGCUCCUGGCUUCUCGACACUAAUGGCUAAUUUAUUCACAAUGAGGUCUUACAAGCCAUCUCCUGAUAUGGCACAAUGGCAGAAUGAUUACAUGAGAGGUACUGCAAUGGAAAUGUACACAGAAUAUCUGUCCAGUUCAUUUAGUGGGAUGACAUUUCCAGAAGCAGCAGAGUUAUGUUUCACGAAACUGAAACUCUUGUUGUUAGCUAUUGAAGCACGUCUUGGUGAUAGCAGAGAAAGUUCUCUAGCAAUUAACCCAGGACCCAAAAUCAAAAUAGAAAGAGCAACUCAAGGAUUCUUCAUUGCAGAAUCUGCUGAAGAAGUUAAAAGGGCUUUCUAUUAUUGCAAGACUUGCCAUGGAGUUGUGACAGAUGUUCGAGCAAUUAAAAAAUGUCGAUGUCGACCAGUUGCAUUAUUCCGAAAAGGAGCAUCCGCAGUUCUAGCAUUACAAAGAAGGUCUGAAUUGACACACACAGACAACCAAAUAGUUCUAUCAUCAGUGACAAACAUGCCAAACAAGAAAGAUAAAGCUGCCGCUAGUCCAGGAUCACAAAUGAAGAAAAUUUCAAACAUAUCAAACUACUCGAAAAUUCUGGAAGAUGUCGAGGAAGGUGAUGAUAGAAUGCUGGCAAUUUCUGAACAGCCACCUAAGGGAUCACGGCUAGCGAUGAAAUUACCUUCUUUCUGGCAACUAAAUCCUUCUCAGCCCACCAGUCCAUCUAAAGGAACUUUACCAGCUUUAGACAAAGGAAACUCUGCCAAUUUACCCCCUGAUAUGAAUGUUGUGCCUGGAGAGGAACCUCGAAAAUUUGAUUCGACAGGAAUGUUCCACUGGUGUCCAGAACGGUGUAUUGAAGAUGUUCUUAUGGAUCGAAAUCAAGCAGCACUAACUGUACUGUGUAACCAUGUUGUUGUGUGCUUAUUUGCCGAAGCAUCAUCUCCACUCAUUGGUUUGAGGAAUUUAGUCAUGCCUUUACGAGCAAGUAAUUUUCACUACCAUGAACUCAAACAUGUGGUUGUUGUUGGAGAUCUUGAAUAUCUCUGUAGAGAAUGGAAAAUGCUUCAGAACUUUCCAAAAAUAUCAAUAUUACCAGGCUCUCCUCUAAACAGAGCUAACUUACGUGCAGUAAAUAUUAAUCUGUGUGAUAUGUGUGUGGUUCUAUCAGCCAAAGAUAAAAACUUAGACGAUCAGCAUCUCGUAGAUAAGGAGGCCAUCCUCUGCUCACUGAAUAUCAAAGCUAUGACAUUUGAUGAUAGUAUUGGCCUUAUACAAGCUUCAGCCCCAACAGGUUUUCUUCCUCCUGGUUUUUCCCCAGUUGGUAAUCAACAACAUGCUCCUCGGAGAGGGUCACUAUGUGGAUCAAAUGUUCCACUCAUCACAGAAUUAGCUAAUGAUUCUAACGUCCAAUUCUUGGACCAAGAUGAUGAUGAUGACCCAGAUACUGAACUUUAUAUGACACAGCCUUUUGCCUGCGGUACUGCAUUUGCAGUAAGUGUUUUAGACUCUCUAAUGAGUACGAGUUACUUUAACGAUAAUGCACUAACAUUGAUCCGAACCUUAAUUACUGGUGGUGCUACUCCAGAACUAGAGCAGAUUCUGGCUGAAGGAGCAGGAAUGAGAGGUGGUUACAGCACUCCAAGUAUCUUGGCUAACAGAGACAGAUGUCGAGUUGCACAGAUUUCAUUAUAUGAAGGGCCACUAGCUCAAUAUGGGGAAAGUGGCCGUUAUGGAGAUUUGUUUUUAGCUGCUCUUCGAAAUUUUGGCAUAUUAUGUAUUGGUCUCUACCGGUUCCGGGAUACUAGCGCUACUGUGAAAAGUCCAUCAUCAAAACGUUAUGUUAUAACGAACCCAUCACAAGAAUUCCCUCUAUUAGCUACAGACCAGAUAAUUUGUGCUAUGGGGCCGUGUUCGCAAUAUCUCUCAACUGAUGACUCUAUAGACCUUCCAGAUAAACCUGAAGAGAGAUGGAGUAAAGCAGCACACUCAGCACACGAGUGUUGACCUAAAUUUUGUGAUUCUAUUGGAGACUUCACUUCAUCACAAGGUUUAUCUGAAAAUACUGUUUCUCUGAAAUAUUAAUACCAGUAUUCUGUCUUCAACCAUUCAACAUUCUUGAAAAAAAGAUGAAGAAAAGGAUGCCUCGUAACCUUAAAGCUGAAGGAAACUCCUGAAUGCUAUGAAAAAUUAUUUUGUAUAAUCUUUAACAGUUACUUUCUUUAAUGAGUGGUUCAACAACCAUACCUUCACCCACCACCCCAUACACACAAACCACCACCACCACCACCAAAACAAAAGCGUGUAUAAUAAAGUGAGGGAAGAGAGACUCAAGAUGAAGAGCAGAGGAGGGAAGUGUUGAAACAAGAAUAUGCUUAUUUAUCAUGACUUCUUAAAGACAGAAUUGAAGGACAUGGAGUUUUAUCGUUUCUGUCUCCUUCUUUCCUUCUAUCCCUUUCUCUCUCUCUCUUUUUCUUUCUCUCUACCAUUUCUGUCACAUCCUCCCCUCUCUCAUUCCCUCACAGACACACAUUCAGAAAUACUGUUUUAAAUAUGAUCUUUAAAAUACGUGUGACCCCCACCCCACUUCCAUCGCCUUUCCCAAAUCUUCUAUUAUGCUAUCAUCUACCAGAAAAUGCUUCUUAUCUCUCUCUCUGUCUCUGUCUUCCUCCCUCUCUAUCUCUUCUUUUUCUCCCUCUCUCUUUCUCUCUCUCUCUUUCUCUCUUCAUCUCUCUCUCUCUCUCUCUCUCUCUCUCUUAUUUAUUUUGUAUUCUUUUUUUUUUCAUUCUUCAAAGUUGAAAAUAUAAAACAACAAAAUGGAAAAUACUCACGUAAGGCACUUGACAUUUCUGAGCUCAUGGAAUUAUGUUCAAAAUUUUACUAGGAGUUUUUCUCUUUUUUUUUUCUGUUAUUGAGUGAAUUUGAAUUACACACUUGUAAACUGAGUGUGUGUGAAAGAAUGAAAAGGCUUUUUCCUGUUAUUGUUAUUUUUCUAAAACAUUGCCCUGUUCUGUGAUCAUCAGUCUGCAGUUAUCUGGAAAGAAAGACAAACAAGGUGGUUAAAACUAACAACGUGGUUUUAAGCAAAAAAACAAAACCCUUGGCAUUUGGAAUAUUUAAUGGCCAUCAAAUGAGGAAAUGAACACAUGAAAUCAUAACAAUAUCUUAUUUCUACUGUCAUUGUAAAUAUUUUCUUUAUAAGUUCUAAUGAUACAAAUAUAUAUGGCAAAGUAUAUAUGA
rnacentral:misc_RNA from 1 species